CCUACGGGAGGCUGCAGUAGGGAAUCUUCCACAAUGGGCGAAAGCCUGAUGGAGCAACGCCGCGUGGGUGAAGAAGGUCUUCGGAUCGUAAAACCCUGUUGUUAGAGAAGAAAGUGCGUGAGAGUAACUGUUCACGUUUCGACGGUAUCUAACCAGAAAGCCACGGCUAACUACGUGCCAGCAGCCGCGGUAAUACGUAGGUGGCAAGCGUUAACCGGAUUUAUUGGGCGUAAAGGGAACGCAGGCGGUCUUUUAAGUCUGAUGUGAAAGCCUUCGGCUUAACCGGAGUAGUGCAUUGGAAACGGGGAGACUGGAGUGCAGAAGAGGAGAGUGAAACUCCAUGUGUAGCGGUGAAAUGCGUAGAUAUAGGGAAGAACACCAGUGGCGAAAGCGGCUCUCUGGUCUGUAACUGACGCUGAGGUUCGAAAGCGUGGGUAGCAAACAGGAUUAGAUACCCUAGUAGUC
rnacentral:rRNA from 1 species